rnacentral:rRNA from 1 species
UACAGAGGGGGCAAGCGUUGUUCGGAAUUACUGGGCGUAAAGGGCGCGUAGGCGGCCUGUUAAGUCGAACGUGAAAUCCCCGGGCUCAACCCGGGAACUGCGUCCGAUACUGGCAGGCUUGAAUCCGGGAGAGGGAAGCGGAAUUCCAGGUGUAGCGGUGAAAUGCGUAGAUAUCUGGAGGAACACCGGUGGCGAAGGCGGCAUCCUGGACCGGCAUUGACGCUGAGGCGCGAAAGCCAGGGGAGCAAACGGG